rnacentral:rRNA from 1 species
UACGUAGGGGGCAAGCGUUGUCCGGAAUCAUUGGGCGUAAAGAGCGUGUAGGCGGCCCGGUAAGUCCGCCGUGAAAGUCCAGGGCUCAACCCUGGAAUGCCGGUGGAAACUGCCGGGCUGGAGUCCGGAAGAGGCGAGUGGAAUUCCUGGUGUAGCGGUGAAAUGCGCAGAUAUCAGGAGGAACACCAAUGGCGAAGGCGGCUCUCUGGGACGGUACUGACGCUGAGACGCGAAAGCGUGGGGAGCGAACAGG